GGUUAAGCGACUAAGCGUACACGGUGGAUGCCCUGGCAGUCAGAGGCGAUGAAGGGCGUGCUAAUCUGCGAUAAGCGCCGGUAAGGUGAUAUGAACCGUUAUAACCGGCGAUACCCGAAUGGGGAAACCCAGUGUGAUUCGUCACACUAUCAUUAACUGAAUCCAUAGGUUAAUGAGGCGAACCGGGGGAACUGAAACAUCUAAGUACCCCGAGGAAAAGAAAUCAACCGAGAUUCCCCCAGUAGCGGCGAGCGAACGGGGAGGAGCCCAGAGCCUGAAUCAGCAUGUGUGUUAGUGGAAGCGUCUGGAAAGGCGCGCGAUACAGGGUGACAGCCCCGUACACAAAAGCGCAUGUGCUGUGAGCUCGAUGAGUAGGGCGGGACACGUGGUAUCCUGUCUGAAUAUGGGGGGACCAUCCUCCAAGGCUAAAUACUCCUGACUGACCGAUAGUGAACCAGUACCGUGAGGGAAAGGCGAAAAGAACCCCGGCGAGGGGAGUGAAAAAGAACCUGAAACCGUGUACGUACAAGCAGUGGGAGCCCCACCACCAAAGCAUUUGCUGUACCGCGUUGACGGAGCGAAGCGACGUCAAACCGAUAAAACAGCAGUGUAAAGUGAGCCGCAGGGCGCUUUGCGCGACAGCGCAAAGGCAGGCGGUUUCGCGUAGCGAAAGCGAAUGCUUUGGGGUGGGGUGACUGCGUACCUUUUGUAUAAUGGGUCAGCGACUUAUAUUCUGUAGCAAGGUUAACCGAAUAGGGGAGCCGGAGGGAAACCGAGUCUUAAUUGGGCGUUAAGUUGCAGGGUAUAGACCCGAAACCCGGUGAUCUAGCCAUGGGCAGGUUGAAGG
rnacentral:rRNA from 1 species